rnacentral:rRNA from 1 species
AUACGGAGGGUGCAAGCGUUACUCGGAAUCACUGGGCGUAAAGAGUAUGUAGGCGGUUUGGUAAGUCAGGUGUGAAAUCCCGAAGCUCAACUUCGGAACUGCAUCCGAUACUGCUAGACUUGAGUAAUGGAGAGGCAGGUGGAAUUCUCGGUGUAGCAGUGAAAUGCGUGGAUAUCGAGAGGAAGACCAAUGGCGAAGGCAGCCUGCUGGACAUUUACUGACGCUGAGAUACGAAGGCUAGGGUAGCGAAAGGGAUUAGAAACCCCGGUAGUCC